UACGUAGGGCGCGAGCGUUGUCCGGAAUCAUUGGGCGUAAAGAGCUUGUAGGCGGUUUGUCGCGUCUGCUGUGAAAUUUCGGGGCUCAACCCCGAACUUGCAGUGGGUACGGGCAGACUAGAGUGUGGUAGGGGAGACUGGAAUUCCUGGUGUAGCGGUGAAAUGCGCAGAUAUCAGGAGGAACACCGAUGGCGAAGGCAGGUCUCUGGGCCAUAACUGACGCUGAGAAGCGAAAGCAUGGGGAGCGAACAGG
rnacentral:rRNA from 1 species